GACGAACGCUGGCGGCGUGCUUAACACAUGCAAGUCGAACGGAAAGGCCCUGCUUUUGUGGGGUGCUCGAGUGGCGAACGGGUGAGUAACACGUGAGUAACCUGCCCUUGACUUUGGGAUAACUUCAGGAAACUGGGGCUAAUACCGGAUAGGAGCUCCUGCUGCAUGGUGGGGGUUGGAAAGUUUCGGCGGUUGGGGAUGGACUCGCGGCUUAUCAGCUUGUUGGUGGGGUAGUGGCUUACCAAGGCUUUGACGGGUAGCCGGCCUGAGAGGGUGACCGGCACAAUUGGGAGUGAGGUACGGCCGGGCCUCGUCGGGGGGGAAGCAGGGGGGAAGAGUGAAAAGGGGGGGGGAGCGGGAGGCAGCAGGGCGGGGUGGGGGAGGAGGGCUGUGGGGUUGGAAACAGGUUGCGCCGGUGAAGAAGGGGGGGGGAGGGGAAGGGAUAAAGAAGACCCGGCUAAUUACGUC
rnacentral:rRNA from 1 species